GGUGGCGUAGUUCAGUUGGUUAGAAUGCCGGCCUGUCACGCCGGAGGUCGCGAGUUCGAGUCUCGUCGUCACCGCAA
rnacentral:tRNA from 5 species